CGACCGGCGCACGGGUGCGUAACGCGUAUGCAACCUACCUUUAACAGGGGAUAACACUGAGAAAUUGGUACUAAUACCCCAUAAUAUCAUAGAAGGCAUCUUUUAUGGUUGAAAAUUCCGAUGGUUAGAGAUGGGCAUGCGUUGUAUUAGCUAGUUGGUGAGGUAACGGCUCACCAAGGCAACGAUACAUAGGGGGACUGAGAGGUUAACCCCCCACAUUGGUACUGAGACACGGACCAA
rnacentral:rRNA from 1 species